GCGCGUGCUAAUACAUGCAAGUCGAACGAACUUUCUUACACCGAAUGCUUGCAUUCACCGUAAGAAGUUGAGUGGCGGACGGGUGAGUAACACGUGGGUAACCUGCCUAAAAGAAGGGGAUAACACUUGGAAACAGGUGCUAAUACCGUAUAUCUCUAAGGAUCGCAUGAUCCUUAGAUGAAAGAUGGUUCUGCUAUCGCUUUUAGAUGGACCCGCGGCGUAUUAACUAGUUGGUGGGGUAACGGCCUACCAAGGUGAUGAUACGUAGCCGAACUGAGAGGUUGAUCGGCCACAUUGGGACUGAGACACGGCCCAAACUCCUACGGGAGGCAGCAGUAGGGAAUCUUCCACAAUGGACGCAAGUCUGAUGGAGCAACGCCGCGUGAGUGAAGAAGGUCUUCGGAUCGUAAAACUCUGUUGUUAGAGAAGAACACGAGUGAGAGUAACUGUUCAUUCGAUGACGGUAUCUAACCAGCAAGUCACGGCUAACUACGUGCCAGCAGCCGCGGUAAUACGUAGGUGGCAAGCGUUGUCCGGAUUUAUUGGGCGUAAAGGGAACGCAGGCGGUCUUUUAAGUCUGAUGUGAAAGCCUUCGGCUUAACCGGAGUAGUGCAUUGGAAACUGGAAGACUUGAGUGCAGAAGAGGAGAGUGGAACUCCAUGUGUAGCGGUGAAAUGCGUAGAUAUAUGGAAGAACACCAGUGGCGAAAGCGGCUCUCUGGUCUGUAACUGACGCUGAGGUCGAAAGCGUGGGUAGCAACAGAUA
rnacentral:rRNA from 2 species